rnacentral:rRNA from 1 species
GAAAAGGAUGUGGGGUUGCUUAGACAACCAGGAUGUUGGCUUAGAAGCAGCCACCAUUGAAAGAGUGCGUAAUAGCUCACUGGUCGAGUGACCCCGCGCCGAAAAUGUACCGGGGCUAAACAUAUUACCGAAACUGUGGAUGAACCUCUUUAGAGGUUCGUGGUAGGAGAGCGUUCUAAGGGCGGUGAAGUCAGACCGGAAGGACUGGUGGAGCGCUUAGAAGUGAGAAUGCCGGUAUGAGUAGCGAAAGAAGGGUGAGAAUCCCUUCCACCGAAUAUCUAAGGUUUCCUGAGGAAGGCUCGUCCGCUCAGGGUUAGUCGGGACCUAAGCCGAGGCCGAUAGGCGUAGGCGAUGGACAACAGGUAGAGAUUCCUGUACCAGUGCUAAUUGUUUAACCGAUGGGGUGACACAGAAGGAUAGGGAAUCGCACGAAUGGAAAUGUGCGUCCAAGCAGUGAGUGUGAGAAGUAGGCAAAUCCGCUUCUCGCGAAGCAUGAGCUGUGAUGGGGAAGGAAAUUAAGUACGGAAGUUCCUGAUUUCACGCUGUCAAGAAAAGCCUCUAGGAAGAGUAGUACUGCCCGUACCGCAAACCGACACAGGUAGAUGAGGAGAGAAUCCUAAGGUGAGCGAGAGAACUCUCGUUAAGGAACUCGGCAAAAUGACCCCGUAACUUCGGGAGAAGGGGUGCUCUAUUAGGGUGCAAGCCCGAGAGAGCCGCAGUGAAUAGGCCCAGGCGACUGUUUAGCAAAAACACAGGUCUCUGCAAAACCGUAAGGUGACGUAUAGGGGCUGACGCCUGCCCGGUGCUGGAAGGUUAAGAGGAGUGCUUAGCUUCGGCGAAGGUACGAAUUGAAGCCCCAGUAAACGGCGGCCGUAACUAUAACGGUCCUAAGGUAGCGAAAUUCCUUGUCGGGUAAGUUCCGACCCGCACGAAAGGCGCAACGAUCUGGGCACUGUCUCAACGAGAGACUCGGUGAAAUUAUAGUACCUGUGAAGAUGCAGGUUACCCGCGACAGGACGGAAAGACCCCGUGGAGCUUUACUGCAACCUGAUAUGGAAUGUUUGUACCGCUUGUACAGGAUAGGUAGGAGCCGAAGAGACGUGUGCGCUAGCAUACGAGGAGGCAAUGGUGGGAUACUACCCUGGCUGUAUGACCAUUCUAACCCGCCACGCUUAGCGCGUGGGGAGACAGUGUCAGGUGGGCAGUUUGACUGGGGCGGUCGCCUCCUAAAGAGUAACGGAGGCGCCCAAAGGUUCCCUCAGAAUGGAUGGAAAUCAUUCGCAGAGUGUAAAGGCACAAGGGAGCUUGACUGCGAGACUGACAAGUCGAGCAGGGACGAAAGUCGGGCUUAGUGAUCCGGUGGUUCCGCAUGGAAGGGCCAUCGCUCAACGGAUAAAAGCUACCCCGGGGAUAACAGGCUUAUCUCCCCCAAGAGUCCACAUCGACGGGGAGGUUUGGCACCUCGAUGUCGGCUCGUCGCAUCCUGGGGCUGUAGUCGGUCCCAAGGGUUGGGCUGUUCGCCCAUUAAAGCGGCACGCGAGCUGGGUUCAGAACGUCGUGAGACAGUUCGGUCCCUAUCCGUCGCGGGCGCAGGAAAUUUGAGAGGAGCUGUCCUUAGUACGAGAGGACCGGGAUGGACACACCGCUGGUGUACCAGUUGUUCCGCCAGGAGCAUCGCUGGGUAGCUAUGUGUGGCAGGGAUAAACGCUGAAAGCAUCUAAGCGUGAAGCCCCCCUCAAGAUGAGAUUUCCCAUUUCUUCGGAAAGUAAGAUCCCUGAAAGAUGAUCAGGUAGAUAGGUUUGGAGUGGAAGUGUAGCGAUACAUGGAGCGGACAAAUACUAAUCGAUCGAGGACUUAACCAAAA